rnacentral:rRNA from 1 species
UAGGGAAUCUUCGGCAAUGGGGGGAACCCUGACCGAGCAACGCCGCGUGAGUGAAGAAGGUUUUCGGAUCGUAAAGCUCUGUUGUUAAGGAAGAACGAGUGUGAGAAUGGAAAGUUCAUACUGUGACGGUACUUAACCAGAAAGGGACGGCUAACUACGUGCCAGCAGCCGCGGUAAUACGUAGGUCCCGAGCGUUGUCCGGAUUUAUUGGGCGUAAAGCGAGCGCAGGCGGUUAGAAAAGUCUGAAGUGAAAGGCAGUGGCUCAACCAUUGUAGGCUUUGGAAACUGUUUAACUUGAGUGCAGAAGGGGAGAGUGGAAUUCCAUGUGUAGCGGUGAAAUGCGUAGAUAUAUGGAGGAACACCGGUGGCGAAAGCGGCUCUCUGGUCUGUCACUGACGCUGAGGCUCGAAAGCGUGGGGAGCGAACAGGAUUAGAUACCCUGGUAGUCCACGCCGUAAACGAUGAGUGCUAGGUGUUGGGUCCUUUCCGGGGCUCAGUGCCGCAGCUAACGCAUUAAGCACUCCGCCUGGGGAGUACGACCGCAAGGUUG